UUGAGAGAAGAAGAUCGCGCUUUUCCCGUCCGAUACUUCGUCCAUCGCGGGCCUCUUUUCCGGCAUGGAGGUGACGGCAAGGACCGCCGUGCCAAUGAGGAACCAUGCGGUGGUGAACUUCCGGUGGGGAGUUAGGGUUCCGUCGAAGAUCAAGAGCGCGGCUGGGAUUUCGCUUCAGAAAAUCCCUUUCCUGGUGAUGAACAAGAUCGGCAUCGAACACGGGGACGGUCCGGAUCCGAAGACGACCGCCAAAGCAAACCAGCCAUCGUCGCCGGAGAACGGCCUGCUGAGGAAGGCCGUUGACGUGGUGACGUGGUGAGACUGAGACUGAAUAGUGGUGAGGAAGGCCGUUGACGUAGAAAACCUGAGACUGAGACUGAGAACGGGCUGCUGAGGAAGGUCGUUGAUUCUAAGUGAAUAGGAGACUGAGUAUUGAUGAAUAGGAGACGCAAAGGCUUCUAAGUGAACCAGGUUUCGUCGGAGAUGUUUGGGUGUGGCCGGAUAUGUUUGAUGCAGGUUUCGCCGGAGAUGUUUGGGUGGGGGCAUUUAAGUCAUUUUACUAAAAAAAGGGUCACGUGACAUUUUCGGUUAAAAGUGAACGGAAUUAGACGGAAAUGACCAAACUGUUAUCUUUUAAA